AACAACCUCACUGUUCUUCAAGGAGUCAAACUACUUCUCUCUACAACAUACAUGAUAGGUGCAUGCAGAAUCUAUUAUCCACUGCUGGAAAGAAGCAAAUACCUCAUCAGAUAUCUCCAGGACAUCUUCCUCUGAAUCACUGCUGGCCGUCACCACAGCAGCCAUCGUUCGAUUUUUGAGUUGAGGAUAAUCUCUGACUAGAUGCCCCA
rnacentral:lncRNA from 1 species